rnacentral:rRNA from 1 species
GAUGAACGCUGGCGGCGUGCCUAAUACAUGCAAGUCGAGCGAACGGACGAGAAGCUUGCUUCUCUGAUGUUAGCGGCGGACGGGUGAGUAACACGUGGAUAACCUACCUAUAAGACUGGGAUAACUUCGGGAAACCGGAGCUAAUACCGGAUAAUAUUUUGAACCGCAUGGUUCAAAAGUGAAGGACGGUCUUGCUGUCACUUAUAGAUGGAUCCACGCUGCAUUAGCUAGUUGGUAAGGUAACGGCUUACCAAGGCAACGAUGCAUAGCCGACCUGAGAGGGUGAUCGGCCACACUGGAACUGAGACACGGUCCAGACUCCUACGGGAGGCAGCAGUAGGGAAUCUUCCGCAAUGGGCGAAAGCCUGACGGAGCAACGCCGCGUGAGUGAUGAAGGUCUUCGGAUCGUAAAACUCUGUUAUUAGGGAAGAACAUAUGUGUAAGUAACUGUGCACAUCUUGACGGUACCUAAUCAGAAAGCCACGGCUAACUACGUG